rnacentral:rRNA from 1 species
GACGAACGCUGGCGGCGUGCUUAACACAUGCAAGUCGAACGGAAAGGCCCUGCUGUUGUGGGGUGCUCGAGUGUCGAACGGGUGAGUAACACGUGAUUAACCUGCCCUUGACUUAGGGAUAACUUCAGGAAACUGGGGCUAAUACCGGAUAGGAGCUCCUGCUGCAUGGUGGGGGUUGGAAAGUUUCGGCGGUUGGGGAUGGACUCGCGGCUUAUCAGCUUGUUGGUGGGGUAGUGGCUUACCAAGGCGUUGACGGGUAGCCGGCCUGAGAGGGUGACCGGCCACAUUGGGACUGAGAUACGGCCCAGACUCCUACGGGAGGCAGCAGUGGGGAAUAUUGCACAAUGGGCGGAAGCCUGAUGCAGCAACGCCGCGUGCGGGAUGACGGCCUUCGGGUUGUAAACCGCUUUCGCCUGUGACGAAGCGUGAGUGACGGUACUGGGUAAAGAAGCACCGGCUAACUACGUG